rnacentral:rRNA from 1 species
UACAGAGACUGCGAGCGUUAUUCGGAUUCACUGGGCGUAAAGGGUGCGCAGGCGGCCAAGUGUGUUAGGCGUGAAAGCCCGAGGCUUAACCUCGGAAUUGCACCUAAAACUACAUGGCUAGAGUACUGGAGAGGGUAACGGAAUUCCAGGUGUAGUGGUGAAAUGCGUAGAGAUCCGGAGGAACACCAGUGGCGAAGGCGGCUCGCUGGGCUCAACCUGACGCUGAGGCGCGAAAGCGUGGGGGAGCGAACCGG